UCUUAAUUUGUGCCUCUCACUUCUGUAGCCAGUGCAAGUGAUAACCGUCCCUGUUUCAAUUAUAAUUUGUGCAAGAUAUGACGAUCACUUGUUCUGAAUGCUUUAGAAAAAAGAAAAUAACUGUGUAUUAGGGUGUGCAAUAUGACCUUACAUUUUAAAUAUAAAAAGUUAUUUACACAACUCAGGGAAAUUUUAUUAAUAUUCAUUUCAACAGUAUGUGUGAAUGUAUUUUUAAUUCAUUGUAUUGAACAAUAAUUGCUCUGAAAUAAUUAUAAUCAAAACCAGCUCGGUUAAUUUGUUUUAAAGUGAAUACUUUCUUCAGUUGAUCCAAUUAUCAUAGUUGGUAACCUCUCCACUGAAAAUAACAGUUUCACAGCAAAACUCCCUGACUGAAGAGAGAGACCAGAUGAAGAGAAUUAAGGGUCGUGUCUUCCUAUAGGCAGACUGUGCAGAUGCAUAGGGCCCCCGCGGCCACUAGGGGGUCCCCAAGCUGAAAGUUCAGGUUCAGCCCCCUCCUGUGUUCGGUGAAGCAUUAUAUGCUUAAAAAUAAAAUGUAGGAUAUAAACACAAUUAAACUGCAAUGAUAGCAAAGCUGUGGCUUGUGUUUUUUGGGGGAAUAAAGUCAAAAUCAUCGUUGGGCUGUUACCCAAUGAGUGACGUCUGAGGAAGAUGAAAAAUGUAAAUUAUACAUUGUUGAGAAAAUGCUGCAUCUCUUGCACUUAUUGACGUAGAGGAGCCUUAUUGUUUACCUUUUUAAUAUAAUUCUUUGUACGUUUCAAUUGCUUGGUUUUCAUGAAAUUAGCCUGUUUUCCUCUUAAAGUGUAACAGAUGGAUGCAUCUCCACAGAUCAUCUUAAAGGCUUCGGAAUCCGCCCAUUGUAGUUAAAAAACUGUAAAAACUAGGGCCCACAAACAGCAUCUUGCAUAAGGCCCCCACAAAGCUAGAAACAGCCCUUGAAUCAACCUUGAUCUGGAGGCCAGUGGCAAAAACCUGACUGAGGAGAGAGAUGACCUGAAGAGAACUGUGAAGGACUAUGUUUCAGAGCAAAACUCCCUGACU